rnacentral:rRNA from 1 species
AUUGAACGCUGGCGGCAGGCUUAACACAUGCAAGUCGAGCGGGGUGAUGGUGCUUGCACUAUCACUUAGCGGCGGACGGGUGAGUAAUGCUUAGGAAUCUGCCUAUUAGUGGGGGACAACAUCUCGAAAGGGAUGCUAAUACCGCAUACGUCCUACGGGAGAAAGCAGGGGAUCACUUGUGACCUUGCGCUAAUAGAUGAGCCUAAGUCGGAUUAGCUAGUUGGUGGGGUAAAGGCCUACCAAGGCGACGAUCUGUAGCGGGUCUGAGAGGAUGAUCCGCCACACUAGUACUGAGACACGGCCCAGACUCCUACGGGAGGCAGCAGUGGGGAAUAUUGGACAAUGGGGGGAACCCUGAUCCAGCCAUGCCGCGUGUGUGAAGAAGGCCUUAUGGUUGUAAAGCACUUUAAGCGAGGAGGAGGCUCUUUUGGUUAAUACCCAAGAUGAGUGGACGUUACUCGCAGAAUAAGCACCGGCUAACUCUGUGCCAGCAGCCGCCGCGG